rnacentral:sRNA from 1 species
GGGGUCGUCUUGGAUUCGACAGGGACAAGUCUGACUUUAGCUGCAGUCGGCGGCACACGUUACGUGCACAAACAAAUAACUGGAAACAGAACAAAUUAUUCAUUUGCCUAAUUAAGUCGACAUAGACUUUGGCAUGCUACUGCUGGAUUUACUCAUAAUUUAGCAGCUAGUAUCAUAACUUAUGAGUUAAGAAAAAGGAUUGCCUAGCUCCUUUUUACGAAAAUCAAUAGGAUCGCUGAGUGAAAGAUUGCUUAUUGAUCGUAGCUUAGUUAAACUCAUUCAAUAAGAUAAACUGUAGACGCUUUAGAGGGACUGUUUUUGGACGCGGGUUCGAUUCCCGCCGGCUCCACC